GGUUGUGGCUCAAUGGUAGAGUGCUCGCCUAGCUUGCAUGAGGCACUGGGUUCGAUCCUCAGCACCA
rnacentral:tRNA from 1 species